AUGUCAUGCACAGGUUAAAGUGAAAAAAAUGUUUUCUUAUUUGACCCUAAAACACACUUGGUAAAAUUAUACAGAGAAUUCAAAAUCUUGGACCCAUAAAAGAGGUCAAAGUAACAGAACUCUUCUCAAAAGCUGGCAAAAAACAAUACUACUAACUCAAACUAACUAACCUACCUAAAUGAGACAAAGGGGAAACUUAAACAGUGGCUGAUCAGCCAAUAAAAACACAGAAAGGCGUAGAACUCACAAAACUCAACUAAAACUAACAUAACAAAUUCCACUUCCCCCUCUUAAUCCAGAAUUGUGGUAUGACCCAAUCUGUAGAUCUCCACAUAGGCUUGCUCCGCCCCUUUUCCACCUUUUACCUCAUCAACCAGGGACUGGGAGCAGCUGCCACUGAGAACAUCCGUGAGGUUCACCUGAGGGGGAGAUCUUUUGUUGCCAGUCUUGAAGAACACCAGCACAUAUCCAUACAUGAAAGAUGGAGCGUCCGGAUACUUAUUUCACACUUAAUGGAGCGCUAUGGAGAAAACCCAACUUCAUGAAUAAAGGCAAUUUUGGCAUCAUCAACAGUGGAUCAGUUUCCAUGUCUAAAGGACUGUUGUGGCACAGGAUAUGUACGUAUCUACCAAGGGCGUAGAUUUGGUUUUGGCGUUGGUGGGGACGGAUGAUUCAACACCGAACC